UACGUAGGGUGCGAGCGUUAAUCGGAAUUACUGGGCGUAAAGGGUGCGCAGGCGGCCGAGCAAGUCGAGUGUGAAAGCCCCGGGCUUAACUUGGGAAUUGCGCUCGAAACUACUUGGCUGGAGUGUGGCAGAGGAAGGUGGAAUUCCAGGUGUAGCGGUGAAAUGCGUAGAGAUCUGGAGGAACACCGGUGGCGAAGGCGGUUCUCUGGGCCUUACCUGACGCUGAGGAGCGAAAGCGUGGGGAGCGAACAGG
rnacentral:rRNA from 1 species